rnacentral:lncRNA from 1 species
CGCCCCAGCGCCGCUGCUGCUCAGACACACCGAAAUAGGAAUGAUUUAAUCCAACGACACCUCCCAGGGCUGCCCAGUCCCGGUUCCGCCAGCUCCUGAGAUUGGGGAGGGGCAGAAUUGGGUGGAACUCGGGCUGGGGGGCGGAAAUGGCCCGAGUGGGAGGGAAGGCGCGGAGUCGGACGCUACCUUGUAACCGAGUUAGAUUUCUGCAGAAGAGGAGGACGAAGGUCGCCCACGGACCCUCGGGUGACCUCGGUGCGGCCUGGUGGCCGGGCACACCCGCGCAUGGACGAGGUCCCUCCCAGGGGUCUCCCUGCAGGGGUCUCCGGGGAGGUAGUGGGCACGUGGGUCCUUAACCUCUCCAUUGCAUCAUCCCCAUCCCGGUGGGUACAGAAGCGCAGCAACCCCGCGGUGCUCCCGGAAGACACCGCGUCUCCAACAUUUACACGGAGAUGCUGCUCGGCUCAGGUCGGGUCCGUACGCUUCCCGAGGUGCGUACUACGCGAGCCACAAACAUCACUACCGAUAUUCCUGGGAAAGUCGGUGCCACAAAUUUGCCAGGGACUAAGCAUCAACUCCCAGUGAGAAAAUCACAUGUGAAGUUGGAAGACACAUGCUGCCCUUCACUUUUCUACGGAGUUCACAUCAGUUUCAGCAAUCCGCGUUCUCAGUUCGCGUUGCCCAGGAGAGGGGGCUCCAUCAUCA